rnacentral:rRNA from 1 species
UACGGAAGGCAGCAGUGGGGAAUAUUGCACAAUGGGCGAAAGCCUGAUGCAGCUAUGCCGCGUGUAUGAAGAAGGCCUUAGGGUUGUAAAGUACUUUCAUCGGGGAGGAAAAACAAAACUAAUAAUUUUAUUUCUUGACGUUACCCGAAAAAGAAGCACCGGCUAACUCCGUGCCAGCAGCCGCGGUAAUACGGAGGGUGCUAGCGUUAAUCAGAAUUACUGGGCGUAAAGAGCACGUAGGUGGUUUUUUUAAGUCAGAUGUGAAAUCCCUGGGCUUAACCUGGAACUGCAUUUUGAAACUGAAAUACUAGAGUAUCGUAGAGGGAGGUAGAAUUCUAGGUGUAGCGGUGAAAUGCGUAGAUAUCUGGAGGAAUACCUGUGGCGAAAGCGGCCUCCUAAACGAAUACUGACACUGAGGUGCGAAAGCGUGGGGAGCGAAACAGGGAUUAGGAUA